AUACAUUUUAGUCAGCAAAAAUGUCUAAAAGGGAAAAGGAAUUCAAGAUAUGAAAAGGGGUGAUAGAAUGAUUUUAUUGUGACUACAAAUAUUCAUGAACAAAGACCACUUCUUAUCUAGAAAUAAUUAAGACAGUAAUGAAGGCAUCCAUAUGAAGGAUAUACUUUUUGUGAAGUUGUCUACCUUAAAGAUAUUGUUGGGAAUAUUAUUUUAAUAAGUAUUUAAUAUUAGACAGUUACAGUUCAGACUAUUCUAGCACAGGGCAAUUUGAUACAAUGGUAAACUCUUCCAAACUGCUUAAUUUUUAAAGCUACUGUCUACAUUGUGCUAUUGAAUUAUGGUAGGCAAUCCAAUCGGACUUAAAUCCAGAACACUUAAAAUGCAUAAACUACUUCUGUUUAUGUUACAGGGUGUGGUUUAAUCUUUCCACUUCUGACACAUUGUUCAAGACAUGUCUUCUUGUUACAAUACGGCAAGAGCCUAGAGACAGAGCUCACAGCUUUCUCCACCCAGGAGGCCAAUGUUACUUCCGAUGAUUCCCUCACCUGUCCAGUCCAACUACUAAAAGACAGGUAAAGAUCGGUCCUGGGCCAGAUUGAACUGGUUCUUUCAGAGCAGAUGAGAUUGAUCUAAUAUCACUUGCCUGGGCUGCCAGGAGCAAAUGCCACUACACAUCUGAAGCUUCAGAACUUGCCAUGUGAUAUGGGAGACAAAUGAAGCCAGUCAGCAAUGUCAAGGUUUGAAGUGGUGGUCCAUUGAAAGCACUGGGUCUUACAAGUCUGAGAAGUAGCACGUAAAGCGACUAUGCUGUGGUUUUGUUGCAGAUGCCAGUACUCUUGUGUGAAGUUUUGAAGCGUCAGAUGAACUUGGAUCAAAACUUCUUCUUUUCAAAGGCUGAAUCAUUUUAGGAUGUGGAGCUAAAGUUAAAUGAUAUUUUUGAGGAUAUGAGUAUUAUACUAUGCAAACCACAGACACAGGAUAAGAAUUGUUUACACAAUAUUAUUAUACAGUUACAUAUCUAUUGAGAUAGGUCUCAGUCAUGAUUUUUCAGAGGCAGCAGAAAUAUAAAGGGAAAGGAAAUGUUUUACUUUGAUUUAUUUAGUUCUUUAAAUUUGGAUUGUCCCUUUCAGUUUCUUCUUAUUGAUGAGUGACUGAUGGAUACCUGAUCAACCAAUAUUGUAAGAAAAUCUGGGCAGGAAGAAUGAAAUGUAACCUCCCCAAAAAGAUGUGGUACAAUCUCAGGCCACCAAAAUCAAAACCAGAGAGUGGAAAUGAAACACCUGUUGUAACAGUACAAUGAAACAAUAUAAACCUUGUAGCCACUGGAGACAUAUUUCUCUGGGAAUGUACCAGUCAUUUGCAAACUAUCUUUCUGUUAGCAAUGAGCAAUUCCCCAAAUACUCUCUCCUACCCACAACUGACACACAGUCAUUUGAAGCAGGAGCCAUAGUUUAUCAGGGAUGAAUGGGCCAGACCAGGAAGUUUAUCAGUAUUCACAACUCAAUAAGCAAACAGCGGGGGAGUCUCACAACCAAAUGUGGGACUUAAUAACUAGUGCUUGUUGUUUCAGACAUCCCAAACAGAGGAUAUUAACCUACUGCUGUGGCUGGGCUUGUUUGCUGUGAUAAAGGCAAGUACAAACA